GAUGAAGAACGUAGCGAAAUGCGAUACUUGGUGUGAAUUGCAGAAUCCCGUGAACCAUCGAGUCUUUGAACGCAAGUUGCGCCCGAAGCCAUUAGGCCGAGGGCACGCCUGCCUGGGCGUCACACGUCGUUGCCCCCCCAUCUACUCCUUCGGGAUUGCGGGGGGCGGAUGAUGGCCUCCCGUGCGCCUCGCCGCGCGGUUGGCAUAAAUGCCAAGUCCUCGGCGACGCACGCCACGACAAUCGGUGGUUGCGAAACCUCGGUUGCCCGUCGUGUGCGGUCGUCGCGCAUCGAGGGCUCGAAAAAAUUGCCGAGUUCCGGCUCGGCUUUCAACGCGACCCCAGGUCAGGCGGGGUUACCCGCUGAAUUUAAGCAUAUCAAUAAGCGGAGGA
rnacentral:misc_RNA from 1 species